rnacentral:RNase_P_RNA from 1 species
GGUGAGGAUUAGAGCAACAGAGACGAGCCGAUUCAGUUCGGGUGAAACGGGCAAUCUCUACGCGCAGCAAUACCAAGUAGGCACACGUUGACGGGGCCCCCGGAGUGUGCGGGUAGGUAGCAUCGAGCUGUUGGGUGACCAACAGCCCAGAGUAAUGGCAGUCACUUCUGCAGGUCCGCAAGGGUCUGCAGUUGCACAGAAUCCGGCUUAUCGGUGGGCUUCACAC